rnacentral:rRNA from 1 species
CCAAAUGGGGAUACCUCUAGUACGGCGAGUGAAGCGGUAAAAGCUCAAAUUUGAAAUCUGGUACUUUCAGUGCCCGAGUUGUAAUUUGUAGAAUUUGUCUUUGAUUAGGUCCUUGUCUAUGUUCCUUGGAACAGGACGUCAUAGAGGGUGAGAAUCCCGUUUGGCGAGGAUACCUUUUCUCUGUAAAACUUUUUCGAAGAGUCGAGUUGUUUGGGAAUGCAGCUCAAAGUGGGUGGUAAAUUCCAUCUAAAGCUAAAUAUUGGCGAGAGACCGAUAGCGAACAAGUACAGUGAUGGAAAGAUGAAAAGAACUUUGAAAAGAGAGUGAAAAAGUACGUGAAAUUGUUGAAAGGGAAGGGCAUUUGAUCAGACAUGGUGUUUUUUGCAUGCACUCGCCUCUCGUGGGCUUGGGCCUCUCAAAAAUUUCACUGGGCCAACAUCAAUUCUGGCAGCAGGAUAAAUCAUUAAGAAUGUAGCUACUUCGGUAGUGUUAUAGCUUUUUGGAAUACUGUUAGCCGGGAUUAGGGACUGCGCUUCGGCAAGGAUGUUGGCAUAAUGGUUAAUGCCCCCGUCUAAAAACCGGGCCAAAAAAAAAAAAAAAAAGGGCCCAAACAACCGGCUUCCUAUUGGGGUUCUAGUAUAUCUAUGCUUUCGGCCUACACUAAUAUUCCACCACUUC